GAAAUUCAUUUCUUCUUUACAAAGGUAUAGAGAUGAUGAAACUCAUUUUAUUAAUUUUUAUCUUCUUCCUUUUUAUUUCUAUGAUUUAUAUCAUAUUUAUUUCUUACUUUUGUUUUUAUUUUCCAGAUCUAUAAAAGGCAUAGGAAAACUCAACAUGAAUCUAAAACGUUGUGAAAGAGAAGAUAAUGAAAAUAAAAAAGAUGAAGGUUCCACUAAAUGAAAGUGAAGAAAGUGAAGGGUUCCAAGAAAGAAGAGAAACGCCAGAAAUUAGAUUAGUGAGCAAAACAAAAACAAUAUCCUUUUUGAUCUAUUCUUUCUCCAUAUUUUUAUUCUACAAUGAUCUCUGCUCUAUUUUUUCUUUGUUUUCAACUCAUACUUUAUUGGUAUAACAAUAGUCUCUUUCUUUCUACAACUUAUUUUAACAUAACUUGUCUUUUCUUCUUUAUUAAAAAUAAUCGGUAUAGCAAUUGCUAAAAAUGGAUAAAAGCAAAAUAAAGAAGAUAAAGUUCUACUUUGAAUAAGGUUUGAUUUUUUUGGUUACGAUUGUUGAUCCAUAUGAAUAAAUGUUUUGUUUUCACUAUAUUUUGAAGGUUUAAGAUUAAAGAAAACUUUUUUAAUAGUUUAAAUUUUUUUGUAUUGUUGUAUAAAUUCUUCAAAACUUUUUUAAAUAAUGAAUUCAAAAUUUUGAGACACUGAUUUGUUUUGUAGGUCUCAAGGAGUAUAAAUAUUGAAAGUGCAAAAUGAGAAAGAGAUGGUGAGGGAUAUGCACGUGAAUGAAGACAGUGACUUGAGAUCUAGAAAAUUUGUU
rnacentral:lncRNA from 1 species